GGGGCGGCAUGGGGCGGCUAUACAUGCAGUCGAACGCUUCUUUUCCCACCGGAGCUUGCUCCACCGGGAAAAGAGGAGUGGCGAACGGGUGAGUAACACGUGGGUAACCUGCCCAUCAGAAGGGGAUAACACUUGGAAACAGGUGCUAAUACCGUAUAACAAUCGAAACCGCAUGGUUUCGUUUUGAAAGGCGCUUUACGGUGCCGCUGAUGGAUGGACCCGCGGUGCAUUAGCUAGUUGGUGAGGUAACGGCUCACCAAGGCCACGAUGCAUAGCCGACCUGAGAGGGUGAUCGGCCACAUUGGGACUGAGACACGGCCCAAACUCCUACGGGAGGCAGCAGUAGGGAAUCUUCGGCAAUGGACGAAAGUCUGACCGAGCAACGCCGCGUGAGUGAAGAAGGUUUUCGGAUCGUAAAACUCUGUUGUUAGAGAAGAACAAGGGUGAGAGUAACUGUUCACCCCUUGACGGUAUCUAACCAGAAAGCCACGGCUAACUACGUGCCAGCAGCCGCGGUAAUACGUAGGUGGCAAGCGUUGUCCGGAUUUAUUGGGCGUAAAGCGAGCGCAGGCGGUUUCUUAAGUCUGAUGUGAAAGCCCCCGGCUCAACCGGGGAGGGUCAUUGGAAACUGGGAGACUUGAGUGCAGAAGAGGAGAGUGGAAUUCCAUGUGUAGCGGUGAAAUGCGUAGAUAUAUGGAGGAACACCAGUGGCGAAGGCGGCUCUCUGGUCUGUAACUGACGCUGAGGCUCGAAAGCGUGGGGAGCAAACAGGAUUAGAUACCCUGGUAGUCCACGCCGUAACGAUGAGUGCUAAGUGUUGGAGGGUUUCCGCCCUUCAGUGCUGCAGCUAACGCAUUAAGCACUCCGCCUGGGGAGUACGACCGCAAGGUUGAAACUCAAAGGAAUUGACGGGGGCCCGCACAAGCGGUGGAGCAUGUGGUUUAAUUCGAAGCAACGCGAAGAACCUUACCAGGUCUUGACAUCCUUUGACCACUCUAGAGGAUAGAGCUUCCCCUUCGGGGGCAAAGUGACAGUGGUGCAUGGUUGUCGUCAGCUCGUGUCGUGAAGAUGUUGGGUUAGGUCCCGCACGAGCGCACCCUUAUUGUAGUUGCCAUCAUUUAGUUGGGCACCUCUAGCAAGGACUGCCGGUGGACGAACGC
rnacentral:rRNA from 1 species